CACGUAGGGGGCAAGCGUUGUCCGGAAUCAUUGGGCGUAAAGAGCUCGUAGGCGGCUCAGUAAGUCGGGUGUGAAACCCUCAGGCUCAACCUGGGGACGCCACCCGAUACUGCUGUGGCUAGAGUCCAGUAGGGGAGUGUGGAAUUCCCGGUGUAGCGGUGAAAUGCGCAGAUAUCGGGAGGAACACCAGCGGCGAAGGCGGCACUCUGGGCUGGUACUGACGCUGAGGCGCGAAAGCCAGGGGAGCAAACGGG
rnacentral:rRNA from 1 species